rnacentral:rRNA from 1 species
UACGUAGGGUGCGAGCGUUAAUCGGAAUUACUGGGCGUAAAGCGUGCGCAGGCGGUUUUGUAAGCCAGAUGUGAAAUCCCCGGGCUUAACCUGGGAAUGGCAUUUGGGACUGCAAGGCUUGAGUUUGGCAGAGGAGACUGGAAUUCCUGGUGUAGCAGUUAAAUGCGUAGAUAUCAGGAGGAAUACCGAUGGCGAAGGCAGGUCUCUGGGCUGAAACUGACGCUCAUGCACGAAAGCGUGGGGAGCAAACAGG